rnacentral:rRNA from 1 species
AACGAACGCUGGCGGCGUGCCUAACACAUGCAAGUCGAACGAGAAAGGGGGCUUCGGUCCUGAGUAAAGUGGCGCACGGGUGAGUAACACGUAGGUAACCUGCCUCUAAGAUCGGGGAUAACCCCGUCGAAAGACGAGCUAAUACCCGGAUAAGACCACGGUCCCUUCGGGGACAGGGGUCAAAGUUAGCCUCUGCAUGCAAGCUAUCACUUAGAGAUGGGCCUGCGCACCAUUAGCUAGUUGGUAGGGUAACGGCCUACCAAGGCAAAGAUGGUUAGCUGGUCUGAGAGGAUGAUCAGCCACACUGGAACUGAGAUACGGUCCAGACUCCUACGGGAGGCAGCAGUGGGAAUAUUGCGCAAUGGGCGAAAGCCUGACGCAGCAACGCCGCGUGGGUGAUGAAGGCCUUCGGGUCGUAAAGCCCUGUCGGAGGGAACGAAUGCUCCUGAGGUUAACAGCCUCGGGAAGUGACGGUACCCUCAAAGGAAGCACCGGCUAACUCUGUGCCAGCAGCCGCGGUAA